rnacentral:rRNA from 1 species
GACGAACGCUGGCGGCGUGCUUAACACAUGCAAGUCGAGCGGUAAGGCCCUUUCGGGGGUACACGAGCGGCGAACGGGUGAGUAACACGUGGGUGACCUGCCCUCAGCUCUGGGAUAAGCCCGGGAAACUGGGUCUAAUACUGGAUAUUACUCUGCGGUGCAUGCCGUGGGGUGGAAAGCCUUGUGCGGCUGGGGAGUGGGCCCGCGGCCUAUCAGCUUGUUGGGUGGGGUGAU